rnacentral:sRNA from 1 species
AUUCUGUUUUCAUCUGAGAGGCAGAUUUAACCGGCGUCCCGUGUCUUCCUGGCAGUCCUGCCCUGGAGUCACACUCCACAGCUGGCUGGAGGCGUGAUCCUGGGUGUGGCCCUGUGGCUCCGCCAUGACCCGCAGACCACCAACCUCCUGUAUCUGGAGCUGGGAGACAAGCCCGCGCCCAACACCUUCUAUGUAGGAGCAGGAGUGAUGGAGGAGGAGGAGGAGGGCCGUCUCACUGUGCAGAGAGCAGCGCCCUUCCUCCUGGUGCCCCUGGCAGGGCUGGUGCUGGUGGGGCUCUGGGAGCAUUUGUUGAGAUGCUUCUGGCCUUGAAAGGAGGCCCCUGGGAUGGCUCUGUUGUCCUCACAGGCUGAGGGGUGGGUGAGGUGGGCAGCCUGUGUGUCCCCAGUCCUCAGGGCUUCCCUCAGCCGGCAGGUGCCCCCAGGCCUGAAGCUGCAGGGCCAGGCCCCCUGCCAGUUACGGAGGCUGCUUGGCUUGGUUGCUGAACCAGGGCCCCAGGAGGCCGAAAUGGCCCCACACCUGCACCGUCCCACCUCUUUGUCCAGUCACCCCAGGGCCAGGCAUCUACAUCCUCAUCGCUGUGGGCGCUGUCAUGAUGUUCGUCGGCUUCCUGGGCUGCUACGGGGCCAUCCAGGAAUCCCAGUGCCUGCUGGGGACGUUCUUCACCUGCCUGGUCAUCCUGUUUGCCUGUGAGGUGGCCGCCGGCAUCUGGGGCUUUGUCAACAAGGACCAGAUCGCCAAGGACGUGAAGCAGUUCUAUGACCAGGCCCUACAGCAGGCCGUGGUGGAUGAUGACGCCAACAACGCCAAGGCCGUGGUGAAGACCUUCCACGAGACGCUUGACUGCUGCGGCUCCAGCACACUGACUGCUUUGACCACCUCAGUGCUCAAGAACAAUUUGUGUCCCUCGGGCAGCAACAUCAUCAGCAACCUCUUCA